UACGUAGGCAGCGAGCGUUGUUCGGAGUUACUGGGCGUAAAGGGCGCGUAGGCGGCUAUUUAAGUCGGGGGUGAAAUCCUGGAGCUCAACUCCAGAACUGCCUUCGAUACUGGCGAUCUUGAGUCCGGAAGAGGUGAGUGGAACUCCUAGUGUAGAGGUGGAAUUCGUAGAUAUUAGGAAGAACACCAGUGGCGAAGGCGGCUCACUGGUCCGGUACUGACGCUGAGGUGCGAAAGCGUGGGGAGCAAACAGG
rnacentral:rRNA from 1 species